rnacentral:rRNA from 1 species
UACGAAGGGGGCUAGCGUUGUUCGGAAUUACUGGGCGUAAAGGGCGCGUAGGCGGUGUGUCAAGUCAGGCGUGAAAGCCCCGGGCUCAACCUGGGAACCGCGCUUGAGACUGGCACGCUCGAGUUCGGGAGAGGAUGGUGGAAUUCCCAACGUAGAGGUGAAAUUCGUAGAUAUUGGGAAGAACACCGAUGGCGAAGGCAGCCAUCUGGACCGACACUGACGCUGAGGCGCGAAAGCGUGGGGAGCAAACAGG